rnacentral:rRNA from 1 species
CAGUCGCCACGGUAAUACGGAGGGUGCAAGCGUUAAUCGGAAUUACUGGGCGUAAAGCGCACGCAGGCGGUCUGACAAGUCAGAUGUGAAAUCCCCGGGCUUAACCUGGGAACUGCAUUUGAAACUGUCAGGCUGGAGUCUUGUAGAGGGGGGUGGAAUUCCAGGUGUAGCGGUGAAAUGCGUAGAGAUCUAGAGGAAUACCGGUGGCGAAGGCGGCCCCCUGGACAAAGACUGACGCUCAGGUGCGAAAGCGUGGGGAGCAAACAGGAUUAGAUACCCCUGUAGUCCCUGUCUCUUAUAC